UAUAUAUAUACGUCAGAAUCUUCCCGUUAUAAUAGAUCAAAUUUACUGCGAAAUUUCACUCAAAAGACAGAAUCAACAACAACAACAACCCAGUAUAAUCCCACUUAGUGGGAUCUGGGGAGCGUAGUGUGUACGCAAACCUUACUUAUACCCUUGAGUAGAUAGGCUGUUUCCAAAUAGACCCCAGCAUUCUUCCCUC
rnacentral:lncRNA from 1 species